rnacentral:rRNA from 1 species
CGGUUAUAAGAUCCCUCAAAGAUGAUGAGGUUAAUAGGUUCGAGGUGGAAGCGUGGUGACACGUGGAGCUGACGAAUACUAAUCGAUCGAAGACUUAAUCAAA